rnacentral:rRNA from 1 species
GACGAACGCUGGCGGCGUGCUUAACACAUGCGAGUCGAACGGAAAGGCCCUGCUUUCGUGGGGUGCUCGAGUGGCGAACGGGUGAGUAACACGUGAGUAACCUGCCCUAGACUUUGGGAUAACUUCAGGAAACUGGGGCUAAUACCGGAUAGGAGCUCCUGCUGCAUGGAGGGGGUUGGAAAGUUUCGGCGGCUGGGGAUGGACUCGCGGCUUAUCAGCUUGUUGGUGGGGUAGUGGCUUACCAAGGCUUUGACGGGUAGCCGGCCUGAGAGGGUGACCGGCCACAUUGGGACUGAGAUACGGCCCAGACUCCUACGGUGGGCAGCAGUGGGGAAUAUUGCACAAUGGGCGGAAGCCUGAUGCAGCAACGCCGCGUUCGUGAUGACGGCCUUCGGGUUGUAAACCGCUUUCGCCUGUGACGAAGCGUGAGUGACGGUAAUGGGUAAAGAAGCACCGGCUAACUACGUG